rnacentral:rRNA from 1 species
AUUGAACGCUGGCGGCAGGCCUAACACAUGCAAGUCGAGCGGAUGAAGGGAGCUUGCUCCUGGAUUCAGCGGCGGACGGGUGAGUAAUGCCUAGGAAUCUGCCUGGUAGUGGGGGAUAACGUCCGGAAACGGGCGCUAAUACCGCAUACGUCCUGAGGGAGAAAGUGGGGGAUCUUCGGACCUCACGCUAUCAGAUGAGCCUAGGUCGGAUUAGCUAGUUGGUGGGGUAAAGGCCUACCAAGGCGACGAUCCGUAACUGGUCUGAGAGGAUGAUCAGUCACACUGGAACUGGGAAACGGUCCAGACUCCUACGGGAGGCAGCAGUGGGGAAUAUUGGACAGUGGGCGAAAGCCUGAUCCAGCCAUGCCGCGUGUGUGAAGAAGGUCUUCGGAUUGUAAAGCACGUUAAGUUGGGAGGAAGGGCAGUAAGUUAAUACCUUGCUGUUUUGACGGUACCAACAGAAUAAGCACCGGCUAACUUCGUG